rnacentral:lncRNA from 1 species
AUGGGUUCAGAAAACCUCUCAAAUCGCCAGGCACGUGUUGCAUUAAUGAGGUCAUGUGCCAUCAUCGGCGCGUGCGCGCAUGGUACGCGUGCGCGUCCUUGGCCUGUUUCGCAAUGUGCGCGCGAGCGCCUUGUGCGCGUGCGCGUGCAUGGCUCUGAUUUUGCUUCUUUGACUUUUAAUGCUUCUCUCCACUUGUAUGCUUCCUUCCUUGCUUCCUUUGAUCCAUGCCUAGCCUAUUUCAUCCUGAGAUUACUAACAAACACAUCAAGGCAUCUUAUGGAAUCAAAGAGGAAAUAGAAUUCAUCAAAAUAAGGCUUAAAAAGCAUGUUUUUA